rnacentral:rRNA from 1 species
CCUACGGGAGGCUGCAGUGAGGAAUAUUGGUCAAUGGGCGGGAGCCUGAACCAGCCAAGUCGCGUGAGGGACGACGGUCCUAUGGAUUGUAAACCUCUUUUGUCGGGGAACAAAGGCGUCCACGGGUGGGCGGAUGAGUGUACCCGAAGAAAAAGCAUCGGCUAACUCCGUGCCAGCAGCCGCGGUAUUACGGGGGAUGCGAGCGUUAUCCGGAUUUAUUGGGGUUAACGGGUGCGUAGGCGGACAGUCAAGUCAGCGGUAAAAAUGCGGUGCUCAACGCCGUACAGCCGUUGAAACUGGCAGGCUUGAGUGGGGGAGAGGGAUGCAGAAUGCGUGGUGUAGCGGUGAAAUGCAUAGAUAUCACGAAGAACUCCGAUUGCGAAGGCAGCAUACCGGCG